rnacentral:rRNA from 1 species
AUUGAACGCUGGCGGCAUGCCUAACACAUGCAAGUCGAACGGGGCGCUUCGGCGCCUAGUGGCGGACGGGUGAGUAAAGCGUAGGAAUCUGCCUUGUAGUGGGGGACAACCUGGGGAAACUCAGGCUAAUACCGCAUACGCUCGCGAGAGGAAAGCGGGGGAUCUUCGGACCUCGCGCCGCAAGAAGAGCCUACGUCCGAUUAGCUAGUUGGUAGGGUAAAAGCCUACCAAGGCGACGAUCGGUAGCUGGUCUGAGAGGAUGAUCAGCCACACUGGGACUGAGACACGGCCCAGACUCCUACGGGAGGCAGCAGUGGGGAAUAUUGGACAAUGGGCGCAAGCCUGAUCCAGCAAUGCCGCGUGGGUGAAGAAGGCCUGCGGGUUGUAAAGCCCUUUAAGUGGGGAGGAACGGCGGGAUGCGAACAGUGUUCUGCUCUGACGUUACCCACAGAAUAAGCACCGGCUAACUCCGUGCCAGCAGCCGCGGUAAU